CUUAAAUGUACUGAAAUCCUAACAGCUCUAGCUGAAAAAAUGUCCAAAGCAGGCCGUGAAAAUAAAUUUAAAUGACAAACUCCAAAAUGAUCUAUGCUAGAAUCCCAAGGCUGUCAGGGAAAACUGGUUCCAUGGAAGAAGGUAGUCAAAGAAAUAAGCAGAUGACCUAGACCCUCACCCAAUAUGCGCGAUGUACUUGGGGAGAAAGUAACCUCUUUCCUUUAUUCACCUACAUAGGUUCGUGAGCCACACAUCUCCCCACACCAAGCUCCUCCAUACAAGACCUCGGACUGCAUCAUGUAAAUGCUUUUUCAGGGGCAAAAACUAGAGAAUCUGAAAUGUAGAGACAGGGUUUCACCAUGUUGGCCAGGCUGGUCUCGAACUUCUGAGCUCAAGUGAUCCACCCACCUUGGCCUCCCAAAGUGCUGAGAUUACAGCAUGAGACACCAUGCCCAGCUGUGAGCCUGUAUCUUAAUCAAAGUCCUGAGAAUAACCUUGAAGAAGACUCCCUUGCAAUGAGCAACAACAGAAGAAGCAAGGGACCUGG
rnacentral:lncRNA from 10 species